GAAUCUUACUUCUCAAACAACCUUAGAAGGAAAGUCAGCUUUAAAUACACAUUUUAAAUUGUCUGUCUAAAGUUGGCAAGUAACUGUACUAUGGAAAAAAAAAAACCUGCAAACCUGAGUUGGCCCCCAAACAUAGACGCUUAAUGAUGAUUGGCUGAUAAACAGCGCCGUUUGUGAGUUGCCAACCAAUCAAAGUGAUGGAAAUUAAAGAUAA